CAGUGUCAUAGAAAUAAAAGCUAUGCCAUAAAAUCAUGACAGAAUCCCUUUAAUGGAAGGGAUUUGUCUUUGUCCUCGUCUUUUAUUUUUUUCUAUUAUUAACCGGGCAAGGCCAAUAUCAAGAGGUCAACCCUUAUGUAACAAAUGCUGCUAAGUUUACCCAGGUGCGGUUGCCCAGAGCACCCAAUAAGAAGUUUGCAUUUAAACAGGUGACCAGUAAAUGAUUCCUGCUGAUUGGUUGCUAUUGAUGAUUUGACCAGUAGCAAACUUGCACCAUUUUUCCACAAGGUGUAAGCUUUCCUGUUCUGUACCCCCGACAUGCCAUUGCUGGUGUUCCAGUGGGUGUAUAGCUGCACACAAACCUCUAAUGCCUCAAUAACUGCCCAUUCUGCCUACUGUGCCACCACCCUCACACAUCAGAGCAUAACUUCCACAUUUCUAUGCAUAAGUACUUUGUUUGCUAGGGGCAAGUACAUAUAUAAUUCUGAUGAUUAACGAUGGACCCACAGCAAGAAGCUCGGAGAGAACAAAAUUAUCUAUAACCAACUUGCACAGUGUCGAACCAGGGUGGCAAUCCUUAUUCUUAAUGAGGUUGAAAUAAGGAAAGGGCAGGAUAUUAAGCAGUUUGACUGUGUAGGCAGAUGGAACUAGCAGGGGAACUGUGACGGGAGGGAAGAGACUGCAAGCAACAGAAUUGGUUUGAAAAGGGGAGAUAGUGACCCUGUGAUAGAAAAUAAACUGAGCAAUGCAAAUAUGGAGGAAAGGAAGAGAUUGAGUGAUGAUGAUGAGCAAUGUAACACAGGAGGAAGAGGAGAAAUAGUAAACAGUGAAACUAUGGCAGAUAGAGAGAUAAGUGGUGGGAAGGUAGAGCAGUGGACCUAUGGCGGAUGGAGAGAGAUUACAAGUGGUGGAACUACGGUGGGAAGGUAGAGAUAAUGAGCAGUGGAACUAUGACGGAUGGAGAGAGAUUACAAGUGGUGGAACUACAGUGGGAAGGUAGAGAUAAUAAGCAGUGGAACUAUGGUGAAUGGAGAGAGAUUACAAGUGGUGGGAAGGUAGAGAUAAUGAGCAGUGGAACUAUGACGGAUGGAGAGAGAUUACAAGUGGUGGAACUACAGUGGGAAGGUAGAGAUAAUGAGCAGUGGAACUAUGGUGAACGGAGAGAGAUUACAAGUGGUGGGAAGGUAGAGAUAAAGAGCAGUGGAACUAUGGUGAAUGGAGAGAGAUUACAAGUGGUGGACCUAUGGUGGGAAGGUAGAGAUAAUGAGCAGUGGAACUAUGGUGAAUGGUGGGAAGGUAGAGAUAAUGAGCAGUGGAACUAUGGUGAAUGGAGAGAGAUUACAAGUGGUGGAACUAUGGUGGGAAUGUAGAGAUAAUGAGCAGUGGAACUAUGGUGGAUGGUGGGAAGGUAGAGAUAAUGAGCAGUGGAACUAUGGCGGAUGGAGAGAGAUUACAAGUGGUGGAACUAUGGUGGGAAGGUAGAGAUAAUGAGCAGUGGAACUAUGGCGAAUGGAGAGAGAUUACAAGUCGUGGAACUAUGGUGGGAAGGUAGAGAUAAUGAGCAGUGUAACUAUGGCGAAUAGAGAGAGAUUACAAGUGGUGGAACUACGGUGGGAGGGUAGAGAUAAUGAGCAGUGGACCUAUGGCGAAUGGAGAGAGAUUACAAGUGGUGGAACUAUGGUGGGAAGGUAGAAAUAAUGAGCAGUGGAACUAUGGCGGAUGGAGAGAGAUUACAAGUGGUGGAACUAUGGUGGGAAGGUAGAGAUAAUGAGCAGUGGAACUAUGACGGAUGGAGAGAGAUUACAAGUGGUGGAACUACAGUGGGAAGGUAGAGAUAAUGAGCAGUGGAACUAUGGUGAAUGGAGAGAGAUUACAAGUGGUGGGAAGGUAGAGAUAAUGAGCAGUGGAACUAUGACGGAUGGAGAGAGAUUACAAGUGGUGGAACUACAGUGGGAAGGUAGAGAUAAUGAGCAGUGGAACUAUGGUGAAUGGAGAGAGAUUACAAGUGGUGGGAAGGUAGAGAUAAUGAGCAGUGGAACUAUGGUGAAUGGAGAGAGAUUACAAGUGGUGGGAAGGUAGAGAUAAAGAGCAGUGGAACUAUGGCGAAUGGAGAGAGAUUACAAGUGGUGGAACUACGGUGGGAGGGUAGAGAUAAUGAGCAGUGGACCUAUGGCGAAUGGAGAGAGAUUACAAGUGGUGGAACUACGGUGGGAGGGUAGAGAUAAUGAGCAGUGGAACUAUGGCGAAUGGAGAGAGAUUACAAGUGGUGGAACUACGGUGGGAAGGUAGAGAUAAUGAGCAGUGUACCUAUGGCGAAUGGAGAGAGAAUACAAGUGGUGGAACUACGGUGGGAAGGUAGAGAUAAUGAGCAGUGGACCUAUGGCGAAUGGAGAGAGAUUACAAGUGGUGGAACUAUGGUGGGAAGGUAGAGAUAAUAAGCUGUGGACCUAUAGCGAAUGGAGAGAGAUUACAAGUGGUGGGAAAGUAGAGAUAAUAAGCAGUGGACCUAUGGCGGAUGGAGAGAGAUAACAAGUGGUGGAACUACGGUGGGAAGGUAGAGAUAAUGAGCAUUGGAACUAUGGCGGAUGGUGGGAAGGUAGAGAUAAUGAGCAUUGGAACUAUGGCGGAUGGUGGGAAGGUAGAGAUAAUGAGCAGUGGAACUAUGGCGGAUGGUGGGAAGGUAGAGAUAAUGAGCAGUGGAACUAUGGCGGAUGGUGGGAAGGUAGAGAUAAUGAGCAGUGGAACUAUGGCGGAUGGAGAGAGAUAACAAGUGGUGGAACUACGGUGGGAAGGUAGAGAUAAUGAGCAUUGGAACUAUGGCGGAUGGUGGGAAGGUAGAGAUAAUGAGCAUUGGAACUAUGGCGGAUGGUGGGAAGGUAGAGAUAAUGAGCAGUGGAACUAUGGCGGAUGGUGGGAAGGUAGAGAUAAUGAGCAGUGGAACUAUGGCGGAUGGAGAGAGAUAACAAGUGGUGGAACUAUGGUGGGAAGGUAGAGAUAAUGGAACUAUGGCGGAUGGAGAGAGAUAGAAAGUGGGAGAAUGGGUACGAUAAUGGUUAGUAUAAAUACAGAGGGGAGGAGGGGACUAUUGGGGGGGGGCAGUAGUGAGCUGAUGUCAGUCAGUAGAUACAGGGAGUGGGGGUUGCAGUCAGCCAGUGGUGG